rnacentral:rRNA from 1 species
GACGAACGCUGGCGGCGUGCCUAAUACAUGCAAGUCGAACGCAUUUUCUUUCACCGUAGCUUGCUACACCGAAAGAAAAUGAGUGGCGAACGGGUGAGUAACACGUGGGUAACCUGCCCAUCAGCGGGGGAUAACACUUGGAAACAGGUGCUAAUACCGCAUAAUUCCAUUUACCGCAUGGUAAAUGGAUGAAAGGCGCUUUUGCGUCACUGAUGGAUGGACCCGCGGUGCAUUAGCUAGUUGGUGGGGUAACGGCCUACCAAGGCUGCGAUGCAUAGCCGACCUGAGAGGGUGAUCGGCCACACUGGGACUGAGACACGGCCCAGACUCCUACGGGAGGCAGCAGUAGGGAAUCUUCGGCAAUGGACGCAAGUCUGACCGAGCAACGCCGCGUGAGUGAAGAAGGUUUUCGGAUUGUAAAACUCUGUUGUUAGAGAAGAACAAGGAUGAGAGUGGAAAGUUCAUCCCUUGACGGUAUCUAACCAGAAAGCCACGGCUAACUACGU